AACAAACGCUGGCGGCGUGCCUAACACAUGCAAGUCGAACGCGAAAAUCGGCUUCGGCCGAUGAGUAAAGUGGCGCACGGGUGAGUAACGCGUGGAUAAUCUACCCUUCAGUUGGGAAUAACUUAUCGAAAGGUGAGCUAAUACCGAAUAAAACUGCCUGACCACGGUCGGGUAGUCAAAGAUAGCCUCUGCUUGCAAGCUUUCGCUGAAUGAUGAGUCCGCGUACCAUUAGCUAGUUGGUGGGGUAAUGGCCUACCAAGGCGACGAUGGUUAGCUGGUCUGAGAGGAUGAUCAGCCACACUGGAACUGAGACACGGUCCAGACUCCUACGGGAGGCAGCAGUGAGGAAUCUUGCGCAAAUGGGGGAAACCCUGACGCAGCAACGCCGCGUGAGUGAGGAAGGUCUUCGGAUCGUAAAGCUCUGUCGGGUGGAAAGAAAUGUAUGGGGUUAAUAGCCUUACAUACUUGACGGUACCAACCAAAGGAACGCAACCGGCUAAACUCCG
rnacentral:rRNA from 1 species